rnacentral:rRNA from 1 species
GAUGAACGCUGGCGGCGUGCCUAAUACAUGCAAGUCGAGCGAACGGACGAGAAGCUUGCUUCUCUGAUGUUAGCGGCGGACGGGUGAGUAACACGUGGAUAACCUACCUAUAAGACUGGGAUAACUUCGGGAAACCGGAGCUAAUACCGGAUAAUAUUUUGAACCGCAUGGUUCAAAAGUGAAAGACGGUCUUGCUGUCACUUAUAGAUGGAUCCGCGCUGCAUUAGCUAGUUGGUAAGGUAACGGCUUACCAAGGCAACGAUGCAUAGCCGACCUGAGAGGGUGAUCGGCCACACUGGAACUGAGACACGGUCCAGACUCCUACGGGAGGCAGCAGUAGGGAAUCUUCCGCAAUGGGCGAAAGCCUGACGGAGCAACGCCGCGUGAGUGAUGAAGGUCUUCGGAUCGUAAAACUCUGUUAUUAGGGAAGAACAUAUGUGUAAGUAACUGUGCACAUCUUGACGGUACCUAAUCAGAAGCCACGGCUGACUACGUG